AAGUCGUAACAAGGUCUCCGUAGGUGAACCUGCGGAGGGAUCAUUAACACGUGUAAAAACGUAUUUUAUUCUAUACCAACCAAUACCGUGAACUAUGUUGCACAGAUAUAUAUAGUGUAUGACUAUUUUUAUAGUUUUUACUAUGUAUACUUCUUUUUUUUUGUUUUUAACAAACCCUUUUCCAACUUUAUUUUUUUUGUUCAAUUUAUUCUUUUUAGUUUUGUUAUAUUGUCAUGAUAUAGCAUUUCUUGAGAAGAUAUAAAAUCAUAUAAAAAAAUACAAAAGCACAACUCUUAGCAACGGAUAUCUUGGUUCUC
rnacentral:misc_RNA from 1 species